rnacentral:rRNA from 1 species
AUGAUAAACUUAGAGAUCUUGUUUCUUGGUGAAAACGCAUUAACAGGUUCCCUUCCAAACAAUCUAUGUAACUUGACCAAACUCACUAUAUUAGAGCUUUUUAGUAACCAACUUUCUGGACACAUCCCUCGAGAGAUAGGUCGUAUGAUGAACUUAGAGAUCUUGAGCCUUAGUUACAACACAUUAACAGGUCCCAUCCCAAAUAGCAUACGGAAUUUGACUAAGGUCACUGUCAUAGAUUUAAUGUUCAACCAACUUUCUGGACACAUUCCUCCAGAAAUUGGCAGGUUAACAAGAUUGGCUAGGUUCCAAGCUUCCAUUAACAAUCUCUCUGGUGACUUGCCAUCGGGUAUUUGUGGGAGAGGCCAGCUGCAGUAUUUCACCGUCAGUGGCAACAACUUGGUUGGUCCCUUUCCUACAAGCUUGCUAAGCUGCAGAAGCCUAGUGAGAGUUCGCCUUGAGGGAAAUCAGCUGGAAGGAGAUAUUUCUGAGAUGGGAGUUCACCCGAAUCUUGUAUAUAUUGGUAUCAGUUCAAAUAGACCAUUUGGUCAACUUUCUGAUGGUUGGGGUGAGUGCUGCAACCUUACCACGUUGCGUGCCUCAAACAAAAAUAUCACUGGAUUCAUACCACAAAGCAUAGGGCAAUUAUCACGGUUGCAGAUACUUGAUGUUUCCUCAAAUAAACUUGAAGGACAAAUCCCACCAGAAAUUGAUGGUCUAUCGGCAUUGUUCAAUCUGAGCCUUGGUAAUAACUUGCUUCAAGGAGGUAUACCACAGGAAAUUGGAACAAUAAAAGAACUGGAGUAUCUGGAUUUAUCAUCAAACAACUUGAGUGGGUCGAUACACGGGUCCAUUGAGCAUUGCUCCAAGCUUCGCACUCUGAAGUUGAGCCAUAAUCACCUCAACGGCAGCAUUCCUAUCGAACUAGGGAUGUUGGUAAACCUACAAGAUUUGUUUGAUCUAAGUGACAAUUCAUUCGAAGGCAAGAUACCGAGUCAGCUAGGCAGCCUAAGCAUGCUCGAGAACUUGAAUCUUUCAAACAAUGCAUUGAACGGCAGCAUUCCAUCAUCAUUUCAGAGCCUAAUCAGCCUCUUAUCCAUGGAUGUGUCAUACAACAAACUGGAAGGGCCGGUUCCACGAAGUGUGUUCUUUGAAGAUGCUCCAACUGAAUGGUUUUUGCACAAUAAUCAACUCUGUGGUGUAGUUAAAGGUUUGCCCUCUUGUGAAAUUACUCAAAGUCAUGGACAACAUAAGAAUUACAAAGUUGUUUUACUAGCUAUAAUUCCUGAUCCAAUAACUCUUGUGCUCAUCACCACAGUAGUAACCCUAUUGAGAUAUAAAAGGAAGAAAUAUAGCGCAGAAAGUGGUAAUGACUUGGAGCAGACAAAGUUGUUCACCAUCUGGAACUUUGAUGGACAAGAUCUGUACAAGAAAAUUGUUGACUCCACGGAGAAUUUUGGUGAUAGUCACUGCAUUGGAACUGGAGGUAGUGGGUCAGUGUAUAGAGCUGAGUUACCUAGUGGUGAAAUAUUUGCGGUGAAGAAGAUCCAUCUGAUGGAAGAUGAUGAGUCAUUUGAUCAUGAAAUAGAUGCAUUGAUUCAUAUUCGGCAUCGAAACAUUGUGAAGUUAUUUGGCUACUGUUCUACACCUCAGGGAAGAUUUCUGGUGUACGAAUACAUGGACAGAGGAAGCUUAGCAGAAUCUUUAAAGAACAAGGAAAGUAUAGCUGAAUUGGAUUGGAUAAGAAGGUUAAAUAUAAUCAAUGAUGUUUCUCAUGCUUUAUCUUACAUGCAUCAUGAUUGCUUUGCACCGAUAGUCCACAGAGACAUAUCAAGCAGCAACAUUUUGCUUGAUCUGGAAUUCAGAGCAUGCAUCUCUGAUUUUGGUAUAGCCAAAAUACUAUCUGCGGAUGAUUCAAACUGCACAAGGCUUGCUGGGACAAAAGGGUAUCUUGCCCCAGAGCUUGCAUACUCAACAAGGGUGACAGAGAAAUGCGACAUCUAUAGUUUUGGAGUGCUCACGCUCGAGUUGUUCAUGGGACACCAUCCAGGUGAUUUUCUUUCAUCCAUGCCCGAUAAGAGUACAUCACUCAAGGAUUUGUUGGACAUCCGGAUCCCACUCCCUGCAGCUGAGGUCCGAAGCAAAGUAUUCAAAGUGAUCGCGUUUGCUGUUCGGUGCAUAGAACCCAAUCCAUCACGCUGUCCAACAAUGCAGCAAGCAAUCAAGGUGUUCACUGCAGCUGGAGGACCUGAUAAUCAUGUUGAUCAUCUGCAUACUGGCAUUGUUAUCCCUGCCUGCUGGUCGUGA